rnacentral:rRNA from 1 species
AAAUUGAAGAGUUUGAUCAUGGCUCAGAUUGAACGCUGGCGGCAGGCCUAACACAUGCAAGUCGAGCGGUAGCACAGAGAGCUUGCUCUCGGGUGACGAGCGGCGGACGGGUGAGUAAUGUCUGGGAAACUGCCUGAUGGAGGGGGAUAACUACUGGAAACGGUAGCUAAUACCGCAUAACGUCGCAAGACCAAAGUGGGGGACCUUCGGGCCUCAUGCCAUCAGAUGUGCCCAGAUGGGAUUAGCUAGUAGGUGGGGUAACGGCUCACCUAGGCGACGAUCCCUAGCUGGU